UACAGAGGGGGCAAGCGUUGUUCGGAAUUACUGGGCGUAAAGGGCGCGUAGGCGGCCUUCUAAGUCGAACGUGAAAUCCCUGGGCUCAACCCAGGAACUGCCUUUGAUACUAUUGGUCUUGAAUGUUGUUGAGGUGGGCGGAACGGGUCAUGUAGCGGUGAAAUGCAUAGAUAUGACCCGGAACACCGAUUGCGAAGGCAGCCCGCUAAGCAACUAUUGACGCUGAGGCACGAAAGCGUGGGGGAUCAAACAGG
rnacentral:rRNA from 1 species